rnacentral:rRNA from 1 species
UACGAAGGGGGCAAGCGUUGUUCGGAAUUACUGGGCGUAAAGGGAGUGUAGGCGGUUUAGUAAGAUAGUGGUGAAAUCCCAGGGCUUAACUUUGGAAUUGCCAUUAUAACUAUUAGACUAGAAUUACAGAGAGGAUAGUGGAAUACCCAGUGUAGAGGUGAAAUUCGUAGAUAUUGGGUAGAACACCAGUGGCGAAGGCGACUAUCUGGCUGUACAUUGACGCUGAGGCUCGAAAGCAUGGGGAUCAAACAGG